rnacentral:rRNA from 1 species
UACGGGGGGGGCAAGCGUUGUUCGGAAUUACUGGGCGUAAAGGGCUCGUAGGUGGCCAACUAAGUCAGACGUGAAAUCCCACGGCUCAACCGUGGAAGUGCACUCGAAACUGCGCAGCUAGAGUCCUGGAGAGGAAGGUGGAAUGCUUGGUGUAGAGGUGAAAUUCGUAGAUAUCAAGCGGAACACCGGUGGCGAAGGCGGCCUUCUGGACAGUGACUGACGCUGAGAUGCGAAAGCGUGGGGAGCAAACAGG